rnacentral:lncRNA from 1 species
UUUUCUUCCCCUCUCUCUUCUUCUUCUCCUCGUUUUCUUUAGUUCGUGUUUUCAUCAUUUGUCGGAACUUUGUCUGAGAAUUCGAACAAAAAUGAAAGGGAAAAAGGGAAACUGAAACAAGGUAAAAGGCUGCCAUCAACUCCUCAGUGUUGUUAAACAAAAUGUGACGUAACUUUGCAUCAGGAAAAAACAAUUACUAGGAACUUUGUGCCGACAUUGGCACUGGGUCUGGAAGGACGACAGUUUCCCGAAAAAUCAUAAAAAGCGCGUCCUUGAAAUUUGUGCACGCGUUUUUUACUUUGAAAUAUUUUGACUGGUAGAUGUAUCGCCAGAGUGAUUGAGAAUCGGGACAGGAUAAGAGCAGUGUGUAAUUACAGUCGUCCUUCGAAUUAUUCGUCACUAUCGUCAGUGCUUUUUAGUAGCUGGGAUAACCAAGCAGCAGAAAGAGAAAAGAAAAUUGAAAAACAAUCGGAUUGAAGCAGAAUUGCAACAAAUUCCGAGCGCAGUUAUAAUUCGACUGGUGCAAAGGAGGGACCGCAGGGGCUCCGAUUAGACGGUGGCUAGUCCUCGGCAACACAACAUUGGAAUUUGCCGAAAUCUUUAUUAAAAAUUCCCCUUUUGGGAUUCUAGAUGUUGUAUUGUAGGGGUUUUCGCAUAGAAAGCUUUUCCAACCUUCGGGCCGUUCAAUAGCAACUGGAAAAACCUGGCCGUGGCAAAUGUGUGGAGGGACCAAGGAGACGAGCGUGUCUCGGUAAAUGUGAAGAAAAUCGUUUCUGCUCUUGGCGCCGUAAAUUUGCCCAAUCCAUAAAUUCUUGUGAUGAUGACUCAUUUAACUUUGAACGGGAUCGACGGGUCUUCUUGCCCCCCAAAGCGAGCGGUUUCAACUUGCUCAGUCCGACUGUUUUGCAUUUUUACGAUUAAGGCGAAAGCCAUUCUGUAAUAGGAAAAUUUAAUUAAACGUCUCACGAUAUUUCAGUAUGGUGCAGGGCGGUCAAAUUUUCGCACCUCAUUCCGACGGACUUCAAACAGGGUCUGUAAUCGCGGGUCUUCAAUCCCGACUGCAAUCUAUUGAACUCGGGCAUACUCGAUUGGGUGUUGUUGAUUACAACAAAAGAAAUCGGAGCGUAUGCCCCAAUUGAAAACCCUAAUAGUGCCCCUUUCUACCAUGCUUACCUUGAUUUUUACCCCGAUUCCUCACCUGAAACUUGGUAAUUGUUUACUGCCCCUUACGACGAAUUCAUGUUUUCCAAUGAGAUACAAGGUAAAAAAAACAACCAAAACAAGCUGACAUUUUUCCUGUAAGGAUGCUAAACUUUUAAGUAUGAAAGUUCAACAUCGUCCUAGAGACCUAGACUCCUAGCUGCCAUAUCCUUUCUUUUAAGAGGCAACAAAAGUGACGAAAAUACAAGCGACAACAGUGUCAUCGCGCGGUGGAAAAACAAAGCUUGUACUCGCCGCCUGUUGAUCAUGGAAGAGAACCUAUAUAAGGCCAUGCACCGAUGUUUCAGGUCUUUUCAUUGCUAGAUAUUGACGAUGGUGGUCGUAAGUAUUGGCGUAGUCGAAUUUUAAUUUUUUAAUAUUGUAGUGGAGUUUUUGUUGCUUGUAGUUAACCAUUACUUGAAUGUGCUGAUAAAAAUUAUUAUUUCCCCUUCUCUUUGAAACGUAUUUUUACUAAUGAAUUUUUGAAUGAUGGCCCAUGAAAAGGCGCUGCUGUGUUUUAGGUGAUGUGGUAGUCGAUAUUAAAUUAUUUGGAAUCAAGCGAAUAGUAUAUUUGUUGUAUGCAUUAUUAAAUAAUGUGGAUAAUUGUUAAAAAGUAGGGUGACCAUGGAUAACUUUGCAUUUCAACAGAUUUUUUUUCUGCUGGCACAUGCUGUCAAUGAGGCAACGUUUAAUGAAUUACAGCUACUGUGAGUACAUAAUUUAUAAUGUUAAAGUAUGAUGAUUAAGUCUGUUUUCUAGGAUUAACACCUUAUUGUAUUAGAAGUAAUAUGUUUUACCUAAUCUGUACUACAUGGUUUGACAUGGUAUUCUAAUAUGAUUUAUUUAAAAAACUUGUUGGACCACUAUAUGAUGGCAAAGUAGCCUGGUGAUAUGCUCCUUACAUGGUAACGUACCAUUUAGCAUACAUAUCUUUUCAGUGUAUGUUUUAAAGCAGUCUAAAGAAUGUAUAAUUGGUUUAAGUUUUCAUCCUUGAACAAUAAGUGUUACUGUAAUUAUUGUUCUAUACACCUGUUUUCUUUUAAGUUGGAAGAAGGCAUGCUUAGGGAAGCUCUUCUUUUUCACUCUGGUUUUCUGAUGAAGAUACAUCCUGUUGCUGCAUGGACCAUUGUUUUUGUUUAUUAUUACUGUGUUACUGUGUGUUGACUCAUUACAGUCAUGAUGUUGCAUUGCAUUUGUCUCUUUGAUGUGGUUGGAAUUUCUGUUCCUGUUAGGAAAGAAAACUGUUGAGGUUAUGGCUUAAUUCCAAGUUCCAUUUACAAGUUUGUAUCUUUAGGGUUAGUAUUGGGUGAUUGAUGACAUAUGUGUGGCAGGAUGACUGAAAAACUUCCCUAGCAUAUGGACAGGGUACAUGGUGUUUGGUUGUUAUCCUGACCAUGUUGUACUCUGUGGUGGCCGAUUUAUGGUGGUGUUUUAAUAGAAUUUUGUCAAUCAAUAUGGUAUAUUGCUGAUUAAUAGUAACAUUUUUCUUUUUUGGGGGUUUUUUUAGUUAGUAGAAUUGUCAUCCGACGAUUGUGUUUCGGUUCUGAUCGAAAUUUCUACGGCCAACCGAGGGAUUUUAUAUGGUAAAUUUGGUAUAAAUUUUUUGGUGUUAAUUUGCUUAUUUCCUUCUACAGUACAAAGCGCCGUCUAUUUCAUUCUGCAUUCGCCACAGUUGAAACGCUGAAAAUGACGUCACAGAUAACGAAAUCUAACCAUAUUGAAAAUUGGAAGGAGAUUUUUUUUUCUCAUGUUAAUUCAUUUUUAUAAAUUCAACAGUGCAUCUGUCAUUUUCUGUGGCUUUGUUUCACCUUUAUUUGUGAUAAAUCUGUGAGAUAGUCGUUAGAAAACUUGGAAGUGAUAAUCGUUAUGUGGGCACGGAAAUUAUCAUUCCAUUUCCAUGUUAUCAGUGGGUUAUUGGUUUUCAAGAUUUUUACGUCGAAACUUAUUCUUAAAAGUUGUCAAAUUUCUUUUCCACGUUCUUUUUGCAAUACCACGAUUAUUUCUGAUGACGGAUCUUUCGACUGAAAUUGUUUUGCCCACACUAAUUGAUAAUGAUUUUUAAAUGAACAUUUGAGUUGACAAUAUAAAGCCUGAAAUUGAA